GUGAUGAUGAGCUGUGUGUGACCGGUGAUCGAGGUCCAAAGCGCUGA
rnacentral:snoRNA from 1 species